UGUAGCCCCGUUGAUGCGGGUUCAAGUCCUGUUUCUAUCA
rnacentral:tRNA from 1 species